GUGCCAGCCGCCGCGGUAAUACGGAGGGUGCAAGCGUUGUCCGGAAUCAUUGGGUGUAAAGGGUGCGUAGCUGGCGCCUAAGUCUGAGGUGAAAUCUUGCCGCUUAACGGUAAAAUUGCCUUGGAUACUGGGUGUCUUGAAUCUGACAGAGGUCGGUGGAAUUCGUGGUGUAGCGGUGAAAUGCAUAGAUAUCACGAAGAACAUCAGUGGCGAAGGCGGCCGGCUGGGUCAGUAUUGACGCUGAGGCACGAGAGCGUGGGGAGCGAACAGGAUUAGAAACCCCAGUAGUCC
rnacentral:rRNA from 1 species